GACGAACGCUGGCGGCGUGCUUAACACAUGCAAGUCGAACGGAAAGGCCCUGCUUUUGUGGGGUGCUCGAGUGGCGAACGGGUGAGUAACACGUGAGUAACCUGCCCUUGACUUUGGGAUAACUUCAGGAAACUGGGGCUAAUACCGGAUAGGAGCUCCUGCUGCAUGGUGGGGGUUGGAAAGUUUCGGCGGUUGGGGAUGGACUCGCGGCUUAUCAGCUUGUUGGUGGGGUAGUGGCUUUCCAAGGCUUUGACGGGUAGCCGGCCUGAGAGGGUGACCGGCCACAUUGGGACUGAGAUACGGCCCAGACUCCUACGGGAGGCAGCAGUGGGGAAUAUUGCACAGUGGGCGGAAGCCUGAUGCAGCAACGCCGCGUGCGGGAUGACGGCCUUCGGGUUGUAAACCGCUUUCGCCUGUGACGAAGCGUGAGUGACGGUAAUGGGUAAAGAAGCACCGGCUAACUACGUG
rnacentral:rRNA from 1 species